UACCGAAGACCGGUCACCCCAACCCCGAC
rnacentral:sRNA from 1 species